rnacentral:lncRNA from 1 species
GCUCUGUUGCAGAAAAUUCAAGAAAGCACAUAAGAAAAAUAAAAAAAUAAUCAAAAAGAGAAAACCAGGACUGCUAAAUUUAAACUUGAAAGCUCAAAAGAAAAACAUCAAACGAUUUCUUAAUAGAAUCAUGCAAUGCAACCAAAUAGCUUGAAUUUAAAACAUGAAUAUCGAAAUAUUUGCCCAUUGGUCUUUGGCACACUGCUGCAAAGCCUAGAGCAGCCAAGCGUACCAACAAAAUUUAGCAUAUCUUACCAUCAAGCAGGUCCCAGCACGAACAUUACAGAUGGGAUAGUCAUGUGGGCAGCAGCUAUAGUGGUCAUCACAGCAGGUGGCAGCCUCAAGCGGGCAGCAUCCCCAUGCAAAGCAAGAGUUACCAUACUCAAAGACACAGCAGCAAGUGUUGCUCUCAGGGCAAGAGUAAUAAUUGUCACACACAGCAGGAGGCUUUGUUGGAGAUGGAGGGGACGGUCCAGGGUUGGGAGGAUUUUGGCCUUUCUUUAUGGGAUAUGAGGCCUCCAUGGCAAUUCCACACUUGCCCGUGAGAGUGCCAGCCACGUUACGCUCCAUCCUAAUAUAGCCAGCCUCUCCCCAGCUACUGCCCCAUGAAUUCUUCACAAUCCAGUAAUCAGCUCCAUUUUCUGUGCCAUAUCCAACAGCAGUAACACCAUGGUCCAGAGAUGUCCCACAUCUUCCCGUAAAUAUACCCUGAAAAUUUGCAAAGACAGAAAAAUAUACUUGAGACUUCCUUAAAACAGAUCAGACACACACAAGACUCUUCCUGAUCCUGUUUAGAAACCAUUAGAAAUACAAUAAUUUUUGUUCAAAUACCAUCCAGUAUUGUCUCAACCAUAUCUUUUCAGAACUGCAAAAUGCAAAUACUUUGUAUCUAGAUAAUAGCAACAUUCCUAAAUCUAAAAUGUGACAAGUGCCAUGAAGAGAUGAAAGUUACCGAUUCAUAUAACUGGAAUGCCAUGCCACCUCCUUCAAUGGCAACACUCACGGGUUGAUUUGCAACUGCCUUUUGCAAAGCUUUCUCGUCAUUUAGGGGAACAUCUUCAUAGUCAUCAAUUGUAACUACUUUGGCAUUUUUCUGACAAAGCCAAAAACCAAAGGCUUAGAAUGAUCCUCCAUUAUAUAGUAUGGCAUUUCUUCGUAAAACAAUAGAGUAAAAAUACCUACCCGAUAUGUGUCACAGCUACCAUCAAUGGCUUUGUAGGGGUAAUCUUCUUCUGUGUCAAUACCUCCAUUAUCAAUAAUGAACUCGAAUGCAUAGUCCAUCAAACCACCAUUACAUCCUUCAUUAUAUGAUGUAUCACAAUCCACCAACUCCUGCUCGGAUAGUGAGAUCAGGCUACCUGUAACAAUCUUGUUUAUACCCUCUACAGCUGCAAUGGUUGAAAAUGCCCAGCAACUCCCUUCAUUCAAGCGAGAUACAAUCAAAUAAUGGUUAGAAUCACACGACACAGAGAGCAACAGAUAAUUUGCUUUCUGAAUUUCUAACCAAGUUAAGUACUUAGACAACUCAAUAUUUGAAUAUGUUUUGUAUCUACAUCAGUUGAUUUAUUACCUACAAAAGUUAGGUAGGGGAAAAAAAAUCGUCACUUCAUAUAAUUCUGAGUUAUUAAGUUUGUUCAGAAUGAUGGAUUGAGGUUGAAUAAGACCGCAAAAGACUUGUAGGACAUAAAAUGUUUAAUAUCUCUCAUUGACAGGUUUUACCAUACUACAACUUUAAUGAUAAAUAAAAAAAUAAUUAACUUGCUACUACAGGACAAUGACUAAUACAAGUUAUGGCGUAAUAAUUAUUAUCUAAGGACUAAUCCCUAAAAUCUCUUAGAACGGAACAAGAUAUCAAGCUCGAAGCUCAUAGGUGGUGAAAUGAAUUACCAAUAUCCUGUACAAAUAAACAAAAUAAACGCACUUAUUUUGUUCAGAGCUUUAAUAAUUCUGCAGAUGCAGCCAACUGACACACUGAUAAGCGGCCCAGCCCACUGACACGUAUUAAAAUUUUGUGGUGUUACCAACUAUCACCAAAAGUGAUAGGAAUACGAUUUUCACGUCUACUGAACACAAAAAAAAUAUUACUACAGCUUUUAAAAAGGUCCGCCAAUCUGUACCCAAUGGCAGCUAUGUUCAACCAACAAGCUCUGGCCACGUCAGGACAGCCAAACAAGAUUCCAUCCAGACAGUUCUUUUUAUUUUCAUUUGGAAAACAUUUUCUCGUGAGGGAAAACAGAAAAUAUCUCGAGCCUUUCGUCAGAAGAUAUCUUCUUGUUUUUCACACUUCCUAAUUUCUUGUCAGUUUUUCUCUUUGUUGUUUUUCGACAAAACAAUAAAAAAGGAAUACUCAAUUUGGACCAUUGAUUAUCACAGUGGCCCAAGCCUCCGAACUCUCGCCAAAAGUCCGAGACGAAACAGCACUUUAAAAAAAUAAUCAUAAUAAUAGUGUCGGAGAAAAAAAGAAAUUCACGAAAACCAGAUUCUAAUUGAUGGAAAAGAUUAAAAAAUAACAGUAAUAGUCCUAACCGGUCAACUUAGCACAACUGCCCCCAACCGGAAGCAGUGCAGAUUCUUCUAACUCUAAUCAUCCUUAAAAUACCAAACAUACCCUUUCCUUUCCUUUCCUUUCCUCUCCGCAAUCGAUUCAUUCAUAAUUUUAAGAUAAUAAUUAAAGUACUGCAGGUAACGAAUAAAAUCUAAAAAAGAAAAAGUAAAUGAAAACAAUAAAAAAACUGACCACAGCUUCCUUGAUCUUUAACUUCAGCGACAGCUCCUUUCUUCCUCCAAUCAACAGAGUCCGGCAACGCCUCGCCGACACGUGGCAGAUAACGGUCGCUCCUCUUUGAUUUCAAGGAAGUCCUUUUAGCACCAAAGCGUGCACCCAGAUGCAUGGACCGGUACUCCUCGUUGGUCAAAUCAGCAAACCGGUUCAACCCAACCUUGUAGGUCCGGUUCUCUGAGUUAUGUUCAUCAAUAAACCUAAGAUUUUCCUUAAAGAUCUCAAACCUCUUCUCUUUUUCACCCAAAGCGUUAUAAGCCUUGCCAUGCUUCACGAGCCAGGCCUCGAACAUAGCCAUAACCUCAUCGUCGGUCCUCCAGCUGCUAGAUUUUGACUCAUGGGUUUUAUCAUAAGAUACAAUCGACAUGUCCAAGGCAGAUGAAACAGUGAAGAGAAAAAGUAAAAACAUGGCCAUGGUUGGUGAUCUAAACAAACCCAUCUUUUGAGAAAAGAACUUUUUUUUUUUUCUUUUUGGGAGAAGAAGAUGGAUUGAUGAGGCAGAGUGUGAGGGUGAGGCAGGUGGUGGGUUAUUAUAAAGGAAAUUGAAGAGGCUAUUAAGUAAAUAAAUUAAAUGAGGAGGUGACAAACGUGGAGUAAAUUUUCAGGAUAUUUUAGUCUAGAGAUAUAUUAUGGGGUAAAUGAGAGCUGACAAAUAAGAAUUGGACAACUAAGAAGCAUGGGGGCGAUAUGCGAUAGGCUGGAGUGAAAAGCAAAGCGACCACUCCACUCGCUUCUGUCCAUACAAAUUUGGAGCGCGGUGUCAGCAAGUAACGAAUUAUCGGGGUUUGGUUUCACGCGCUUCCUUUCUUUUCCUUUCUUUUCUCGUUAAGACCCCUGUACUUUGACUUAAUUAUACUCGUUUUUGUUGUUAGACAAAGUUUAUCAGAAAAUACAAAAUAUCUGAAUGUGUUAAUUGCUGUAUUAAAAAAUCAAUCAAAAUGUUUUUCUUUUUUUUUUAAUAACUUCACUGCACUCCUUAAAGGCCUAAUAUCUCUUUUAAAUACACCAGUUUCUUAUAACUGAAAAAAAAAGACGAGAAAUUAUUGCUCAAUUCCUUUUAAAUGUCCAAAAAAAUUUCUUUACAGCCGAAAAUUCUUUAAAAAUAUGAAAAAUUCUCACCUUCAAUAAAAGAAAAUUAUCUUAGUUGUGACUUUAUUAUAAUAUUUGGUCCAUUAUUUAUAAAAUGGAAAAGAAAAAUCUAAAAUAAAUAUAAAAAAACUUAUUUUUUCGUAUGAUAAAUCUAUAAAUGAUUUUGAAAUUGCUAAAUUUAUAUAGUUAAUUAUAUCACCAUCGCAGGUCUAGCCAAAAUAAGUAGGAAAAUUGUUUAAAAACCCUUAUUCUACUAAAUUUAUGGUAGCUUGACAUCAAACUUGUGAUUUUUAAAUUUAGAUUGAUGUUAUUAUUAUUUUGUUUGAAUACCACAUGUCUGCAUCCAUAUGCGUAUUACAAAAAGAAAAAAAAAUAUAUUAAUAUUUAUAGUCAGAAAUUUAUUAAAAUAAUUUAAAUCAAUGUAUUUAUUUAAUUAUGUUAAUUGUUGGAAGAGUUGGCACGCCUGUCAUUUGUAGUCUGUGGGACACAAAAGAUGCCUUCGACGAACGGGACGGGUUACGGGAGACUGAAACUGCUCUUUUGUCUUAUCCGGGACCCACUUAAACGUUUGGAGAUAUUUCUGUAAAUUUGCAUCAAUUAUUUCAUCUUCAAUAUUUCUCAUCACCACCAAACAUGUGGACAGUGGAUGCUCUUUGAUGCGACUUUUUAAUUUAUAUUUUUGACUUUUAUAUUUCUUUUUUUUUUUUAUAAUCCUCAGCCGUUUCCUGAUUUUCUAUUUUGUUUAAAAAUGAUAACUAAGCAAAUUCUCAUACCAAAAUAUUCCAUGGGUCCUACUAAUUACCAAAAAAAAAAAAAAAAAACCAAAUUUUCAUUCAGCGAUGAGUAUUGAAUAUGCGACCCCCUUUUAUGUAUCUUAUUUUUCCUGAUAAAUGUUUUAUUUUGUACCCCAAAAAUAAAUGCUGAGUCACCGACCUAUAAUAAUUCAAGUCACACUAACCAAUCACGAACCAACAAAAAAACAAGAAAGCAAAUCCCCUGAACUACUUAAAUGCUUUUCUCAAUCACGUGCAAUUUUGGGAAUUACGUAAAAGUACCCAUUAUAGACAUUAAUUACAUAAUUAGAGUGUCUCAAAUUUUUAUAAUACAAAUUCUAAAUUUUUUAUUCUAAACAUGUAUCCUAAAUGAUGUGUCAUUAAUUAAGUGGUUGAUAAUUCUUUAUAAAAUUUAAGUGAAUUAAUUAUAUUAUCUCACCAACCACUCAAUUAAUGGCACAUCAUUUAGAAUAAUUUUUUUAAAUAAAAAAUUUAGAAUGUGUAGCAUUACUCUUUUUAUAAUAAGUUCCUCACUGAUAACUCGAAACAAGGGACAAUACGGUUCUUUUAUUGCUUCCGCAAUCCCAUUGAACGCUGCGUGAGGUUGCUAAGGCCAGGGAAGGGAACACGAGCAGGUUGUUGAGAACAUUAAUGCUUCAUAGAGUCCUUUCCAGCUUGUUAUCAGCAGUCAAGUUAGAAACGCCUCUCUGCAUUAGUCAAGUUAGAAAUUGAAUUGGUAGAUGAACACCUAACAAUUGUUAAAAUUCUAUUGAGUAUUAAUCAAAUUAAUCUAUUUUUUUUCUAUAGUAGGUACACCACCGAAAUAAUUAGUUAAAGAGUAGCGUACUCCCAUGGCUGAUGGUGAUAUCAUGAAUUCAUGAUUACGAAACAAGCCAAUAUGAACGCAGAGAAUUUAUAAAUAAUUACUAUUUACUACCCAUAAACACGAUUAAAUGUAUCUACCAACUUACCAUAAAAAUAAACAUUUAAGGGGAAAAAAAUCCACGGGUAGAGUACCUCCCGAAUUUUCACAUGAUCCAUCUAUCAAUCGACUUUUCGCUUUCUCUUUCAAUCAGAGCCCCAUAAUAAAUAAUUAAGGAACAACAAAGAUGACUUGCUUUUGAAGUAAAUGAUGGGGGCCAUAGCAUAGCCCAUGGCCCACCGAAUGUGAAUGGAAUCUCUACGAAUCUUUAUUUAAUAUUAGUUAUUCAGGAAUGGACAAUUUACUGAUGCCAUCGAGGCUGGUAAAUGAUAGGAACGAUUAGAUGGUGAUAACAUCAUUUUUCUUCGAUUUAUAGUUUUAUACAAGUCAAUUUGUACGUGGCUUGAUUAUUUUCCUUACGUUUUUCUUUUCUUAUUUGCUUUGGAUACUGAACUAUGAUUUUUCAAAACCAACUACACAUUUCGUGUGAAGAUAUUUGCCAAAAUGACAGUUUUUUUAAUUGGACUUGAUAAUGAUUCAAAUCCGAGUUUGGUAGAAGUUGUAUUAUGUUUAAUUUUAUAAAAUUGAUUUCUAUAUUAAAGGUGCGAUUGAAAUUGAGAUUAGAUAGUUAUAAUUUAAAAGUUAUAAUAUUAAAAUGUUUGAUAAAUACUAACUGUUGUAGUUUAGAAGUUAUACUGAUAUGAUUUUUCACUUAUAUAAUGAAAAAUUUAUUAUAUUUUUAAUAAUUUUAUUAAAAUUAUUAUAUAAAAUUUAUAUUUACUAUAUAUUAUUAAUUUAUAUUUCAUAAUUACAGAAUUUUUUUUAUAGCAGCUGUAACUUAAAAGUUACAACAUCUCAAUUUCAAACGCACUCUAAUUUUGAGAGUUAAAUAUGUAGUUGUGGCAUUAUUCACGUACCCAUAUAAUCUUUGAAUUGAAAACUCAAGUUACCUGUAAGCACGCAUGUUCCUCUAUGAUUGUACGUGACAUAUUUCAAUCUAACUACCAUGCACUCAAAAAAAAAAAAACUAUGCAAUCCAUAAUUUAUAAAUGGAUUUGUGUGGGAAUCAUAUCUGAAAUUCUAAAAAUCAUAUUCAAAUAUUAGUGAUUUUGAAUUUGUCAAAAUAAAAAUUCAUUAUAAGGCAGAAAAAUAGAAAGACUUAUUUAACUUUUUUUUUCUUUUGAACAUAGUUACCGUUAAAAAAAAAAAUUCAUUAUUGUUCAUUCCACUCCACCUAAAAUGAAAUUAAAUGUUUUCCUCGAGAUUAAGCCUAGACUUCUUAUUUUUAUUGCAAUAGUCAAGCAAAUUUGACUAUCGCUUAAGAAUAAAAAGCCUAAUCUUAAUUAGGUUUAAUAUUAGAACUGAAUCUCUCAAGGAAGGGCAACACUAUUAGCAGAGUUAAGGUAUGUUAAAUAUUAAAACAAGUUAAACAAAUUUUUCUAUAUGUUUUUGAAAAAAGAAAUCAUAAUUAGCUGAGCUCGCGUCUUUACUAAUUCAAUAAAAAAAAUCAUUUUCAUAAUUUAAACACUUUUGAGUUUAGACAUUAGUUGGAUAACUAUUAAUAAUUAAGUUAUUUUCAUUUAUUUGAUUUAUUUAUUGAGUUAAAAAAUCUCACAUAAUUAACAAAAAUCUAAUUUUAUAUUUAUAACAUUAACAAAAAUGGAAAUACCUGUUAUUAUUAUUCUAAGAAAAAAAAUUAAAAUUGCGGAGUAUUUAUUUAGAUAAGAUGCACACCUUUGAGGAGUAUUUAUUUUGACGUAUCUGGAUAUAUCCAUCAAUCUUUUUAGAUAAAAUACAAGAUAUGCAUUUUAAGAUUAAAAGACCGUAUACGUGGACGGUCUCUGAUCACUCUCCAGUAGUAACAAAUCACAAGAAGCAACAACCCCCUCCAACGUCAAUAAAUUCUGCUUGCACAUGGAACGAUGGAACGGGACGUCUCCUCUUUUUAUUUUUUAAUGCACUUUUUGAUAGCGAAAUUGAACUUAUUAGAUUCAAAACUCAUGAGUAUGAACCUGGGACCCACUCACCCCGGCAUGUUCUCUUUAGUCACCUUGCUGGGCCCCACUCGGAUGUCUUAUAUCGCUUGCAGUACGGCCCUACUCGUAAUUGACAGUUUGAGACGCGAUCAGCCGUUGAUCAACGAUCAAAUUAUGAAUCAGACGACGAUGGCAAUUGAACACAGAAUUGCAGGUUCUUGGACAGAACUUACAGCAUGAAUGAGGGUGUGAUGGUAAUUUUCUCUUGUAGAGAAUUUGAUCUUUGAUCAUAAUUCUUUCUUCCUUUGUCAAUUUGCUCGAGAGGCGAACUUGUCCACGUCUGUUGAGCUGGCUUAUAAUGUUAAAUACUCACCCGUUUCUCUAUCCAAUACGAAAAUAUUUUUGAUCUCACAUAUCAUGAAUUCAACAAACAAAGCAAGACAGUCAAACCACGCAAUCACUUGGGGAAAAAAAAAAAAAAAAAAAAAGAUAAACGGAAUCUUGCAUAUUGCCAAAGAAGGCAAAUGUUAUGUUAUAAUUAAUGUAACAUACACACUCAACAACAACCACACAAAUUAUGUGGGCUCAUUAUUUGUGUGGUUAUUGUUGAAUGUGUAUGUUACAUUAAUUGUAACAUAAGGGCUCCCGUCAAAGAAUAUUAGAAGGGUUAAUAAAGAGGAUAAGUCAUAAAUUUCAAUUAUAGCAGACACCGGCAUCAUAAGGUUAAAAUAUAAGAUUACAUGUGUUAUAAAUGAACAUUCUACCUCGAUAGCUGCAAAAUCUAAUAAUAUAACGCUCAAAAAAUAGAACGUCAUCCCCCUAACAGAUUGUGGAAUCAAUUUGCCCAUGAGCUGCCUAAUUAUAAAAAAAUAAAAAAAACUAGUUGAUGAUGAUAAGCACACUAAAUUUUUUGUUCUAUUGGUAACAAAACAUCGCUGGCGAUAUUCAUUUCUCACAUGCCCACUUGGACAAAAAUUUCUUAGACCUACGUUUUCAUCUAUACUCAAGCCUCAUUGAAGUACAAUCAUAAAGUAUAAUACAAUUAACGAUGAACAAAAUGGUUCAACACAAUUUAGUUUUACACCAUGCAGCAACCAACCAUCCGAGCUACAUUAUAUUAUUAUAAGCAAACUAUGUUUAUUCGCCAUACAGAUUACAGACAACAUACUUCACACCUUUUUGCAAACAUCAUCACAUAAACAUAAAAGGAACUUUGAUAUGGAAAUACAAUCAAAUUCAAACUCUGCUUGAUUUGGAGUUGCUCUGUG